rnacentral:tRNA from 1 species
GGGCAGGUAGCGAAGCGGUCAAACGCAACAGACUGUAAAUCUGUCGGCUUAGCCUUCGAAGGUUCGAAUCCUUCCCUGCCCACCA